rnacentral:rRNA from 1 species
CUAAGUCACUUUGUCUUUAUGGCAAAUGUGAGAUGCAGUGUAUGGAAUGUCAAAUUUCUAGUAUGAGAAAUUAACGAUUUAAGUCCUUCUUAAAUGAGGCCAUUUACCCAUAGAGGGUGCCAGGCCCGUAUAACGUUAAUGAUUACUAGAUGGCAUUUCCAAAGAGUCGUGUUGCUUGAUAGUGCAGCACUAAGUGGGUGGUAAACUCCAUCUAAAACUAAAUAUAACCAUGAGACCGAUAGUAAACAAGUACCGUGAGGGAAAGUUGAAAAGAACUCUGAAUAGAGAGUUAAAUAGUACGUGAAACUGCUUAGAGGUUAAGCCCGAUGAACCUGAAUAUCCAUUAUAGAAAAUUCAUCAUCAUGAUUUUAAUAUUAAUAAUAUUAUAACAAUGGUGUGCAUUUUUUCUAUAACGGACAUUGUAAUCUAUUAACAUAAAUAUAUUUAUCAUAAGAUCAAUGAUGCGUAAGUUUAUUCAAAUUAUUUUGCUUGCAAUUUAACAUAGAAUAAAUGCUCUUGAUUUGAUAAAGUGUUGAUAGAUUUAUUGUAUAUAGUGCUUAAAUAUUUAUAUUUUAUAAUAGCAUAUUAAUCAUUGAUUUUUAUGUUUAUUAUAUGCACUUAUAUGAUUAACAAUGCGAAAGAUUCAGGAUACCUUCGGGACCCGUCUUGAAACACGGACCAAGGAGUCUAACAUAUUUGCAAGUUAUUGGGUUUUAAAACCUAAUAGCGAAAUUAACAUAACUUUAAUGGGAUUAGUUUUUAGAUUAUUUAUAGUCUAUUAAUUCAAUCCCGGGGCGUUCUAUAUAGUUAUGUAUAAUAAUAUUUAUAUUAUUUAUACCUCUAACUAGAGCGUACCUUGAGCAUAUAUGCUGUGACCCGAAAGAUGGUGAACUAUACUUGAUCAGGUUGAAGUCAGGGGAAACCCUGAUGGAAGACCGAAACAGUUCUGACGUGCAAAUCGAUGUCAGAA